rnacentral:lncRNA from 10 species
ACUCCCUAAAUUUAUUCAAUUGGAAUCUCCCAAAAUGGUGCUGGGAAUUCUAUUUAGAAAAAAGACCAUUCACUUUUAAUUGGCAAAUUUAGUUCAUUUACAUUUAUUACGCUGGCCAUCUGUCUGGAGCUAGCUCUUGAGCACUGUUUAUUGCUUCUCUCUUUGCCCUGUUACUCUGAAAUAGCUUUUAUCAGACAGGCUUGGUGGCUCACACCUGUAAUCCCAGCACUUUGGGAGACUGAGGGGGAAGGAUUGCUUGAAACCAGGAGUUUGAGAACAGCCUGCGAAACACAGAGAGACCCUGUCUCUACAAAAAAAUUUUUUUAAGUUAGCCGGGCAUGGUGGUGUGCCUGUAGUCCCAGCUAUUUGGGAGGCUGAGGUGGGAGAGUCAUCUGAGUGCAGGAAUUUGAGGUUGCAGUGAGCUGAUUGCACCGUUGCACUCCAGACUGGGUGACAGAGCAAGACCCUGUCUCUAAAAAAAUUUAAAAAAGAACUUUUUUAUCUUUGAGGGCUUCCCAACUGGGAUUCCUUGCUGAGCCUCUGUCAUGCAGAUGGAGAAGGCCAGGCCGAGGCCUGGAAGGAGGGGGGCAGGAGACAGCCCAGAAGCAGUUCUGCAAGGAGGUUUAGCAGGGGUGGCGCGGAGAUUUGAUCCUUGGAAGAAAUCCUAUGCUGCUGGGAGUUGAGAUUCCUGAGAACUAGAGAGAAAAGAACUUUGGGUGCCCUUAGGUAAAUUAUGUAAACACACUGAGCUGUCUUGGGUGCCCAGGAUUUGGAAAUGGGGCCUGGGGGCAGUAGGAGCUGGUGCUCCAGAAGUCAUAUUUGCGGGAGGUUGUGGGGAUGGAAAGGGUGGGUAAGCCCUGACCCUGAGGGUCUCACAUGACUUUCAGCACAUGGAGCCUCCAUGGGGACUUUGGCUUCAAAGCCAUCAAGCUCAAGAGUGUGGGCAAGUGUGGAGACAGAGGUGACUCUCCCCAGUGGAUGCUGAAGAACUUAAAGGUGACUCUGUGGGCCGGGAACAUCGGGCACAGCUGACCCAAAGUGCUGGUCUUGUUCCAUAAGCCAUGGCUAUGGGGAAAGCCAUAGGGGUUAACUGGUUCUUCCUGCCAUCCCUCCCUCCCUUUCUUCCUUUUUCUUUUUGCUUCUUUGCUUUCCUUCCUUCCUGCCAUUUUUUCCUUCCUUUCUUUUUAGAGAUGAGGUCUCGCCCUGUCGCCCAGUGGCACGAUCACAGCUCAGUGUAGCCUUGGACACUUUGGGAGGCCAAAGGCUCAAGUGAUCCUCCCGCCUCAGCCUCCCAAGUAGGUGGGACUAUAGGCACGUGUCACCACACCUAAUUAUUUAAAUGUUAUGCGGAGGCAGGGUCUCGCUAUGUCACCCCAGCUGGUCUGAAACUCCUGGCCUCAAGCCAUCUUAGUGCCCUAAAGUGCUGGGACUACAGAUGUGAGUCACCGCACCUGGCCUACUAUUUCUUUCUUGACCCAAGAGAAUUGGCUGGAGAUGGAUUUGACUUUUUGGUCUGUAUGCACAGCCUGAAUUCUUGGAGGCUGAUGUGGAUUGGAUAAUUUGAGGACAUGUUCUUGAGGCGGUGACAAGGUGGGGCAUUGCUCGUCACAUACCUAGGCUUGGAAGAGUGGGAGGAGGGACCUGUUGCUUGAAUCUGGAGACAGAAAGAGCUAUUGGAAAGACCUCCUUACUCCCAGGGGAGAAUGUGCUGGGGACUGAAUUGUGUUGCCUUCAAACUCACAGGAAUAAGGUUUUUAUUCAUCCUUUAAAAUGAGGUCACAAGAGUGGGCCCUAUUCCAAUAGGAGUGGGGUCCUUAUAAGAAGAGGAGAUUAGGGCCGGGUGCAGUGACUCACGCCUGUAAUCUCAGCACUUUGGGAGGCCAAGGUGGGCGGAUCACUUGAGGUCGGGAGUUCUAGACCAGCCUGGGCAACAUGGUGAAAACCCACCUCUACUAAAUAAUACAAAAAUUAGCCGGGCAUGGUGGUGCACGCCUGUAGUCCCACCUACUCGGGAGGCUGAGACAGGGGAAUCACUUGAACCUGUGGCAGAGGUUGCAGUGAGCUGAGAUCACGCCAUUGCACUCCAGCCUGGGCAACAGAGCAAGACCCCAUCUCAAAAAAAAACAAAAAACAAAAAACAAGAAUCAGAGAUAGGACACAGACAGGCACAGAGGGAUGACCGUGUGAAGACAUGGGAAGAAGGCAGCAGCUGUGAACCGAGAAACAGGUUCUCCCCAGACACAGCUUCCGUCACGCCGUGGUCUUGGACAUCCAGCCUCUAGAACUGCAAGAAAGAAAUAUUCUUGAUGAUACCCAGUUUAUGGUAUUUUCAUUCUAGCAGCCCAGACAAUUAAGGCGCAGCCUGAUUAUGCAAUGACCUUGCAGCUCAGAGCUGGGGCGAACACUUCCUGCACAGCGCGGCUUCCACAGCCAGAGUUUGCCCAAAUCACCUGGGGCAUUGGAGACAAAGGAAAACCACUUGAAAACAGUUCCAACGGGAAGCACGGCUCAUCCUUGUGGCCGUAAACGAUAAACAAACACUAUAAAUGGGCACCACAGACAAAGCCACAUCAGUGCCAGUUUUUAUCUUUGGGGCCUAUCUCCUGUUCAUGUGCAAACCUGUAGGUCACAGAGACACCUUUGCUGGGACUUGUGCUGUUUUGGGCUACAGGGCAGCCUCUUCCAGACUGAGCUGGGGUCCAUUGACAGACUCCUCCCCGACUGCAGGAGAUACUUUGCCUCUCCAGUUUGGUGUCUGAGUGAUCAUUCAACGGUGCAUUAUUAAUGUUUGUUUGUUUAUUUAUUUAUUUUUGAUGAGACAGUCUUGCUCUGUCACCCAGGCUGGGGUGCAGUGGUACGACCUCAGCUCACUGCAACCUCUGCCUCCCGGCUUCAAGCAAUUCUUCUGCCUCAGCCUCCUGAGUAGCUGGCAUUAUAGGCGUGUGCCACCACACCUGGCUGCUGCUGCUGCUUUUUUUUUUUUUUUUUUUUUUGAUAGAGACAGGGUUUCACCAUGUUGGUCGGGCUGGUCUCGAACUCCUGACCUCAAGUGAUCUGCCUGCCUCUGUCUCCCAAAGUGCCGGGAUUACAGGCGUGAGCCACUGCGCCUGGCCAGUGUUUAUUGUUCAUUUCUACUUUCUCUUGCCUUUUCCUUUGUUUUUCACAGGGGGAAACUAUUCAUCCUUAUGCAAAUAGAUAUCUUAACAUGACACUGAAGUUUGUUUCAUUUUUUUGUUUUCUUUCUUUUUUGAGACAGGGUCUUGCUCUGUUGCCCAGGCUGGGGUGCAGUGGUACAAUCAUAGCUCAGUACAGCCUCCAACUCCGGUGCUCAAAUGAUCCUCCUGCCUUAGCCUCCUGAGAAGCUAGAACUACAGGCGUGUGCCACCAUGCAGGCUAAUUUUUUUUUUAUUUUUGUUUUGUAGAGCUAGAGUUUCAUCAUGUUGCCCAGGUUGGUUUUGAUCACGGGAGUGAUCCUCCUGUGGUGGCCUCCUAAAGUGCUGGGAUGACAACCACCAUGGCCAGCUGCAGAGGGGGAACGGGCCACAGCAGGGCUGCAGCCACGGUCUCCAGAUGUUGCCCAGCCUGUCCAGCUGCAGAGGAACUGGGCUGAGUGUCCGCUGGUGUUCCCACACCGCCUGCUGGACUCGUUCC